ensembl:lncRNA
GUUGGCACUCAUUUAAUUUGUAUGUAAGCAUUCUGUUAUUGUUAGUUGACUGAGAUACUUGGUCAGCGGUCAGGUACUCUAACGUCUAGGCCAUCCUGUAAAUCCCUGUGUUAUUGUUAGUUGACGGAGAUAUUUGGUCAGCGGUCAGGUACUCUAACGUCUAGGCCAUCCUGUAAAUCCCUGUGUUACUGUUAGUUGACUGAGAUACUUGGUCAGCGGUCAGGUACUCUAACGUCUAGGCCAUCCUGUAAAUCCCUGUGUUAUUGUUAGUUGACUGAGAUACUUGGUCAGUGGUCAGGUACUCUAACGUCUAGGCCAUCCUGUAAAUCCCUGUGUUAUUGUUAGUUGACUGAGAUACUUGGUCAGCGGUCAGGUACUCUAACGUCUAGGCCAUCCUGUAAAUCCCUGUGUUAUUGUUAGUUGACUGAGAUACUUGGUCAGC